rnacentral:rRNA from 1 species
GACGAACGCUGGCGGCGUGCUUAACACAUGCAAGUCGAACGGAAAGGCCCUGCUUGCAGGGUGCUCGAGUGGCGAACGGGUGAGUAACACGUGGGUGAUCUGCCCCUUAUUUUGGGAUAAGCCUGGGAAACUGGGUCUAAUACUGGAUAGGACCAUGCUGUAGGUGGUGUGGUGGAAAGAUUAGUUUCGGUAAGGGAUGAGCUCGCGGCCUAUCAGCUUGUUGGUGGGGUAAUGGCCUACCAAGGCGUCGACGGGUAGCCGGCCUGAGAGGGUGGACGGCCACAUUGGGACUGAGAGACGGCCCAGACGCCUACGGGAGGCAGCAGUGGGGAAGAUUGCACAAUGGGCGCAAGCCUGAUGCAGCGACGCCGCGUGGGGGAUGACGGCAUUCGGGUUGUAAACUCCUUUCAGCCAUGACGAAGCCCUUGUGGUGACGGUAGUGGUAGAAGAAGCACCGGCUAACUACGUG